UAUCGCGCGAUCGCCUUGAGUUGAUAUGGCUCAGAAUCAACGCUGGCGGCGUGCCUAACACAUGCAAGUCGAACGCGAAAGCCCCGCAAGGGGUGAGUAGAGUGGCAUACGGGUGAGUAACACGUGGGUGACCUGCCUUCUAGUGGGGGAUAACGUCCCGAAAGGGACGCUAAUACCGCAUGACCUUCUGUUCUUGGAAGAACGGACAUCCAAGCUGGGGAUCCUCAGACCUGGCGCUUGAUGAGGGGCCCGCGCCUGAUUAGCUAGUUGGUGAGGUAACGGCUCGCCAAGGCGACGAUCCGUAUCCGGCCUGAGAGGGCGGACGGACUCCCUGGGACUGAGACACGGCCCAUACUCCUACGGGAGGCAGCACUGGGGAAUUGUUCGCACUGGGCGAAAGCCUGACCACGCAGCGCCGCGUGUAUGACGAAGAUCUUCAGGUCGUCAGCUCCUGUCGAGCGGGAAGAAAGCUCCUCCAUCGAAUACGUCGUGGAAUUGACGGUACCGCUAAACGAAGCCCCGGCUAACUCCGUGCCAGCAGCCGCUAGUAAUACUGUCGGGGCAAGCGUUGUUCCGAAUUACUGGGCUUAAAGGGCUCGUACGCGGACUACUAAGUCUGAUGUGAAAUCACCAGGCUUGACCUGCGAACUGCCUCCGAUACUGCAUGGCUUGCAUUCGGAACAGGGAUGCUGUAUUCCGCGUGUAGCAGCUGAAUGCAUACAUAUCUGCGAGAAUACCGGUGGCAAACG
rnacentral:rRNA from 1 species